GCUGCUUGGAUGACCGAGGGUCUCUCUUAGAAGAGAAGAUCACAUCUCCCCACGUGUGCUCUGCCAGCAUCCUUGGGCUGUGCUGACUGUGUGGAAGCAGCUCCCACAGACAUCUUUCAUGUCUUUGGCAUUAGCAGUACAAUGAAGCCACCCUGGCAGGUGGGAAACAAGUUCUCACCAGAGUAUGUAUAGCACAGUACAUAAUACCUGGUAGUUCAGUGGUGAUGCAGCAGCAUAGCCCUUUUUACGGAAUAGACAGGAGUGAAACUGUUUUGAACUGAAACAGGACUUCUGGGGCACUUGAAAUUGGGUCUGAGUUACCAAAGAGAAGAAUGGGUGAGAGCAUUUACUAUCUCCAGCAUGAAGCAGUGGAGUGCGAGUACAGUCUUGAUGUUGUAUCGUGUUACAAGCGUAUAAUGACAUCCUGGAAAAAGCAGGGCUGAUCAAGAUCUUCUAGACAGUGCAAUAGGAACAAAAACGCCUGAUGUAUUUGCCAGGAUGGAGUAUGUGGAUGGAUUUCUACUGGGGUUAGGAAGACUAUACACACAGUUAAGACCAUAGGGCAUAACAAGGUCUAAGAAUACCUUUGUAUACAAAAGAAAUUCUGAGUGACUCUAUUUUUUUAGGAGUUACUUCAUGCCCCAAAUCAUGCUCUGUGUAGGCUCAUCUAGUUUUAAUACUCACUUCUGCUUUGGAUAACAGCAGUCAUUUGGUAUCAAAUCCUACGAAAAAGGACACAAGAUGAAAACUAACUUUGGGACCUGCAGAUCUGUAAGCAUCCCACAUCCCUCAUCGGCCAUGGAGAAACUGUGUUCUUGAUUCCUUGAGGAAGACAAGACUUCUUUGGUGUUUCUUCUAUAACCACCACCAAAAAAAUAAAUCAAACUGCAAAUAUUUUCUAUUUCACUGUUAUUAAUUCCUUCCAAGCAGGUCAAUCCAUUUCUCUCUUUCAAGAGUGAGAUAGCGGGGCUUGCUGACACAUACCAGAGAGCCCUUUGAGCUUGCCUUCCUCCCAUUUCAAGAAAAGGAGUUUAUCAGGCCUGUGAUGUCUGAGAUAGAUCCUGUCCUGAGCUGAAGCGCACCAUCUACCACAAGCAAGAAAGGCCAUGCCCAUGACGUAUAACUACGUGUACUGCUUCAUCUUGAAUUCGCAUUCACAAACGCAGCAACCCGGGGGCUUUUCACAGCACCUUAAGCAGACUGAAGUGGAGCUGGCGCAUAAUCAGCGACGGAACAGCUGUUAUCCAGAGAUAACAGAGGCUGCAGAUGUGCAUGGGGUCAAGGGAGACAAUGCCAUCCCAGGACUGCUGAUUAUUCCUUCUCCUUGGUAGACCAAGCUCACCCACAAAUGCCCUUCCAAAAGUUUGAUAAGGACCAAAGGAACGGAUGAGAAAGGGAGGCAGUAAAAGUAACAGAUACAUGGCAUGCUGCGGGCUGCUAUCUGCAGCGUUUGGCAUUUCCCGGACAGCCCGUACCCCAUAAGGCCUUAGAGUCUGAAUGCAAGAACGGCUUGAGCGUUGCCUGCUGCGACUGAAGAAGAACUUGAGUGAAAAUAAUCCUCUCUUUUGUUCCGCUUGGGUUGCUUUUUGUUUGCCUGACAGAUGUUCGGCCCCUGUGCGUGCACGCGGAGCAGAUCCUGCACAGCGCAGCCGGGCCCUCUGAUCCGCCAGCCCAUUGAGUCCUGCACCUCGGCCCGGCUGGGCUCCAGCCCUUACAGAUGCGAGGGCUGAGGGCUGUGGCCCUGUUCCACUGCACAUGGCUGGGUGGCCCUCCGUGGUGAGGGGGAACAAGGAGGGCAAGCCUCUCAUCAGCAGCACCCAUGGUGACACAUAUGGGCAAGCGCAGUCAAACAACACCACAGUGCUGCACUUUGAGGUGCCAUAACAUGGCGUCAUGCCGGGGCCUGCUAUACCUGACCCCCUCAGCUCGUUGUGCCAUGCUGUGCAGCUGAGGGGUGGUUUUGGGCAGCCCCGGGUACCAAUCUCCUUGCCAGCCCCUGCAUGGCUGCACAUACAGCUCCCUGGCUGCCGCACUGCCCUGCCUUAUCACCUCUCAUAGAAUCACAGAACUAUUGAGGCUGGAAAAGACCUCUAAGACCGCCUAGCCAAACAGCAGCCCAUCCCCACCAUGCCCACUAACCAUGUCCCUCAGUGCCACAGCCACACAUUUCCUGAAUAUCUCCAGGGAUGAUCACCCCACCACCUCCUUGGGCAGCCCCUUGCAGUGCCUCACCACUCUUACAGAGAAGAAAUGUUUCCUAAUAUCCAAUCUCAACCUCCUCUGGUGCAACUUGAGGCCAUUCCCUCUCGUCCUAUCACUAGUUAACACUGCUAGGCACCGAGCUAUCAUUUAAUACUGCUGAGCUUACCUAGCUGUGUGCUACUGACCUGUAACUUGGCAGAGUAUUUUCCUCUGCAGAAGCAAAUACAGACAUGUUCAUGAUGUUCAAAUACAGAGUUCACCUAUGCUCCUCCUGACAUCCAAGCAGCUCAAGCAGGAUGGGUCUUUAAUUUAGGGAAAAUAACACUGAUCUGCUACUGCGGUGUCAGUAAUUUACAUUCCCUUCUUCAUUAAUUUUGGACUCUCCGUGACACAUAUGUGAACAUGAGCAAAAGGGGCUCAUCCAGAAAGAAGAGCUUUCUAAUGUGAAUUCUUGGGUGGAGGAUGAUAAAA
ensembl:lncRNA